CAAUAGCGUAUAUUAAAGUUGUUGCGGUUAAAAAGCUCGUAGUUGGAGUUCUGCCAGGUGCCGCCUGUCCGCCCCAGUGGUGAGUACGUGGCGCGCAUUUGGCCCUUUCAAGGGGAGCGUAUCAGCACUUUAUUGUGUGGUGCGGGAUCCUUGACUUUUACUUUGAGGAAAUAGGAGUGUUCCAAGCAGGCUCUCGUCGUGCACAGCUCAGCAUGGAAUAAUAGCAUUGGACCUCGAUUCUAAGCUGUUGGUUGCCAGAAGCGAGGUAAUGAUGAAGAGGGAUAGUUGGGGGCAUUCGUAUUUAACUGUCAGAGGUGAAAUUCUUGGAUUUGUUAAAGACGGACUACCGCGAAAGCAUCUGCCAUGGAUGUUUUCAUUGA
rnacentral:rRNA from 1 species